UGGGGAAUAUUGCACAAUGGGCGAAAGCCUGAUGCAGCGACGCCGCGUGAGGGAUGACGGCCUUCGGGUUGUAAACCUCUUUCAGCAGGGAAGAAGCGAAAGCGACGGUACCUGCAGAAGAAGCGCCGGCUAACUACGUGCCAGCAGCCGCGGUAAUACGUAGGGCGCAAGCGUUGUCCGGAAUUAUUGGGCGUAAAGAGCUCGUAGGCGGUUAGUCGCGUCUGCUGUGAAAACUCGAGGCUCAACCUCGGGCUUGCAGUGGGUACGGGCUGACUAGAGUGCGGUAGGGGUGACUGGAAUUCCUGGUGUAGCGGUGGAAUGCGCAGAUAUCAGGAGGAACACCGAUGGCGAAGGCAGGUCACUGGGCCGCAACUGACGCUGAGGAGCGAAAGCAUGGGGAGCGAACAGGAUUAGAUACCCUGGUAGUCCAUGCCGUAAACGUUGGGCACUAGGUGUGGGUCCAUUCCACGGAUUCCGUGCCGCAGCAAACGCAUUAAGUGCCCCGCCUGGGGAGUACGGCCGCAAGGCUAAAACUCAAAUGAAUUG
rnacentral:rRNA from 1 species